CCAUUAAUACUGUUUAUCCAAAGCUUUUCUUGCCAUAAUUAGUGAUCAGCUGAAAAGUUAACCGCUUAGUUCCACCUGAAUUACCAAGAGAUACCUAUUAGAGUUUCAUCUAAGCUUUCAAUUUCCAGAUCUGGUGUAAGACAAACACACUCUUUAUCAUCUUUCUCAUCUUUGGAUCAUUGGAUCUUUGGAAUCCUAUGCUUGAAUUGAUCAGACUGAAUAGUACAGCAGCAGCUUGCUAGUCAAAUUAAUCAUUCAUACUACAUACCCAGUCCAUUAAAGUAGAAAGUGGGAAUCUGUUGCAACUUUGUCUA
rnacentral:lncRNA from 1 species